AGGCUAAUAGGGCUCUUGUUGUGAGAAGGGAGAAGGACCUAAAUACAAAUUAGAGUCAGCAUAUGCAGUUAGGAAUGCCAUUGACAAUUAUGAUUCUAGGAUUGAAGAACUAGAACUUCAGCUGCAGAAGUGUGUAAUUGCAAAAAAUGACUUUGAGAUAAACGUGGAAUAAGCUGUCCAGGAUUCAGGAAGAAAGGACAUUAUAGCAGAGUUUCGUGUGAUGGCCUCAUCUUUGUGUAAAGAAAUGGGAAUGGUGGAAACUCAGUUGAAGCGGUGGAAGGAAACAGCUUAUGAAACACUUUCUUUACGUGACAAAGCCCAAU